rnacentral:rRNA from 1 species
UGGGGAAUCUUGCACAAUGGGCGAAAGCCUGAUGCAGCGACGCCGCGUGCGGGAUGAAGGCCUUCGGGUUGUAAACCGCUUUCAGCAGGGACGAGGCCGCAAGGUGACGGUACCUGCAGAAGAAGCCCCGGCUAACUACGUGCCAGCAGCCGCGGUAAUACGUAGGGGGCAAGCGUUAUCCGGAUUCAUUGGGCGUAAAGCGCGCGUAGGCGGUUUGUUAGGUCAGGUGUUAAGUCUGGGGGCUCAACCCCUAUCCGCUCCUGAUACCGGCAGGCUUGAGUCUGGUAGGGGAAGGCGGAAUUCCAAGUGUAGCGGUGAAAUGAGCAGAUAUUUGGAAGAACACCGGUGGCGAAGGCGGCCUUCUGGGCCACGACUGACGCUGAGGCGCGAAAGCUAGGGGAGCGAACAGG